rnacentral:rRNA from 1 species
UGGGGGAUAUUGCACAAUGGGCGAAAGCCUGAUGCAGCGACGCCGCGUGGGGGAUGAAGGCUUUCGGGUUGUAAACCUCUUUCGCUAUCGAACAAGACCCGCUUAGGGUGGGUUGAGGGUAGGUGGAGAAGAAGCGCCGGCUAACUACGUGCCAGCAGCCGCGGUAAUACGUAGGGCGCGAGCGUUGUCCGGAAUUAUUGGGCGUAAAGGGCUUGUAGGCGGCGUGUUGCGCCUGCUGUGAAAACGCGGGGCUUAACUUCGCGCGUGCAGUGGGUACGGGCAGGCUUGAGUGUGGUAGUGGUGACUGGAGUUCCAGGUGUGGCGGUGGGAUGCGCAGAUAUCUGGAGGAACACCGAUGGCGAAGGCAGGUCACUGGGCCAUUACUGACGCUGAGGAGCGAAAGCAUGGGUAGCGAACAGG